AGAGUUUGAUCAUGGCUCAGGAUGAACGCUGGCGGCGUGGAUAAGGCAUGCAAGUCAAACGGCCCGCAAGGGCAGUGGCGAACGAGGUAGUAACACGUGGGUACAUCCCUUUUAGUCAGGAAUAACUAGUCGAAAGAUUAGCUAAUACUUGAUAGUCUCUUCGGAGUAAAGAUUUAUCGCUAAAAGAAUGGCCUGCGGAGUAUCAGCUAGUUGGUAGUGUAAUGGACUACCAAGGCUAUGACGCUUAGGGGAGCUGAGAGGCUGACCCCCACCGAUGGUACUGAGACACGGACCAUACACCUACGGGUGGCCGCAGUCGAGAAUCUUCCGCAAUGGACGAAAGUCUGACGGAGCGACGCCGCGUGAUGGAUGAAGACCCUCUGGGUCGUAAACAUCUUUUAUGAGGGAGAAAGUUUAUUGAUAGUACCUCACGAAUAAGGGGUUGCUAAACUCGUGCCAGCAGCAGCGGUAAUACGAGUGCCCCGAGCGUUAUCCGGAAUCAUUGGGCGUAAAGGGUGUGUAGGUGGCAGUGUUAGUCAGUUGUUAAAACCUGGGGCUCAACCCCAGACUCGCGACUGAAACGGCACAGCUAGAGGAUGGCAGGGAUGUAUGGAACUCAUGGAGUAGGGGUGAAAUCCGUUGAUAUCAUGGGGAACACCAAAAGCGAAGGCAGUACAUUGGGCCACUCCUGACACUGAAACACGAAAGCGUGGGUAGCGAAUGGGAUUAGAUACCCUAGUAGUCC
rnacentral:rRNA from 1 species